CAGAGAAAGAUGUUAAAGCAGUGAAAUAACUAUCAUCACGAUCUGAGUGGAGAGGAUCAAUAUUUGAAGAGUUUGUAUUUUCAUCUCCCAUUAUAAUCAAGUGUUUGAUUAAAGUAACUGAAGAAACAGAAGAUAUUAAGAGGAAUGAAAAAUGGGUGAAUAACACUUGCUAUACCAGUGACACAGUGCUGUUGGCUGAUUCAGAAGAAGUUAGUGGAGUUUAUAUGAAUAUGGCAAAGAAUAUGGUGUAGAGUUGAAUGUGGACAAGGCAACAACUAUGGAGGAAGCAUCAUUACAGAAGAUGGAAGAUCAGAGCCUGAAAUCAGCACCAGAUUAGCAAGAGUGAAAGAGACAUUCGGAAAGAAUAAGCCUCUGAUGAGAAGGGACAUGAAUCUGAAGACUGAAUUCUGAUUCUUAAAACU